GACGAACGCUGGCGGCGUGCUUAACACAUGCAAGUCGAACGGAAAGGCCCCUUUGGGGGUACUCGAGUGGCGAACGGGUGAGUAACACGUGAGUAACCUGCCCUUGACUUCGGGAUAACUUCAGGAAACUGGGGCUAAUACCGGAUAGGAAUCCUUGCUGCAUGGUGGGGGUUGGAAAGCUUCGGCGGUUUUGGAUGGACUCACGGCCUAUCAGCUUGUUGGUGGGGUAGUGGCUUACCAAGGCUUUGACGGGUAGCCGGCCUGAGGGGGCGACCGGCCACAUUGGGACUGAGGUACGGCCCAGACUCCUACGGGGGGCAGCAGUGGGGAAUAUUGCACAAUGGGCGGAAGCCUGAUGCAGCAACGCCGCGUGCGGGAUGACGGCCUUCGGGUUGUAAACCGCUUUCAGCAGGGGCGAAGCUUGUGGUGACGGUACCUGCAGAAGAAGCACCGGCUAACUACGUG
rnacentral:rRNA from 1 species